UACGGGGGGGGCAAGCGUUGUUCGGAAUUACUGGGCGUAAAGGGCUCGUAGGUGGCCAACUAAGUCAACCGUGAAAUCCCUCGGCUUAACCGGGGAACUGCGUUUGAUACUGGAUGGCUUGAGUCCGGGAGAGGUGAGUGGAACUCCGAGUGUAGAGGUGAAAUUCGUAGAUAUUCGGAAGAACACCAGUGGCGAAGGCGGCUCACUGGCCCGGUACUGACGCUGAGGUGCGAAAGCGUGGGGAGCAAACAGG
rnacentral:rRNA from 1 species